rnacentral:rRNA from 1 species
UACGCCUACAUGAAGCUGGAGUUGCUAGUAAUCGCGAAUCAGCAUGUCGCGGUGAAUACGUUCCCGGGCCUUGUACACACCGCCCGUCACACCAUGAGAGUUGGCAAUACCCAACGUACGUGAUCUAACCCGCAAGGGAGGAAGCGUCCUAAGGUAGGGUCAGCGAUUGGGGUGAAGUCGUAACAAGGUAGC